UAGUAUCCUUUGACUUUAUCAGCUAGUAUUUAUUUUACAGCGGAGCAUUGAAAUUGUUUAUUUAAGAAAAUUUUUCGUAUAGAAUACAUUUAAAUUCAAGUUCAGUUAAAAUUUAAAGCAAAUAAUUUUAUAAUAUAAUAAUAAAUAAAUAAAGUCAAUGGAUUCUAAAACAAUAGAAACAUUAGCAUUUGUUUCUUCAAAGAGUCUGUGCAAAUUGAAAAACAAAAACACAGAUAAAUCUAAAAGAAAAGGCAAAUGCCAUCGCCCAGGGCCAUUAAUGCGAAAUCCCUAUUUAAAUUUUCUGCGUGAGUUUCGAAAGCAAAAUUGCGGCUUAACAGCUGUUGAAAUUAUCAAAAGAGGUGCUCAGGCUUGGAGAGCAGUACCAAAGGAAAAGAGGUUGAGAUAUAUUGAAGAGGCAUUUUAUGCGCCUAAGCGUAAGGGUUGCAGCGGUGCACAGCAGUCACCAAAUCUGAGCUCAUGUGCUCACAAAACGAAAAAAAGAAGAUCGAUUCCAUCUUGUUCUUCAAAAAGUAGUGUUCAUAAAAAGAAAUCAAUAACUUCUUCCAAACCAAAAAACGCAAAAAAUGCGUGUACAAGUAAAACUUUUAAAAGGAAAAGUAAGAAGCGUCCUAAAAAAGCCAAGAAAGCAAAAUGUGGACAGCGUAAAAAACUUAGGAAGCGCAAACUAAAAUUUCCUAAAUCUAACUGUAAACGAGCAAAGCAACAAAGGCGUAUUAAGAAAAAACCAAACAAAUGUAGCUUUGCUUGAUUAAUAACAAAAGUGAUUUAAAAAAUAUGUAAACAAAAUUUAAAUUGUUCGUUCAGUACCCUUGUAUGUCACAGAAAAACUAGAAAAAUAAAAAUAUCUGCCAGAAUUGCUAAUAAA